CCUACGGGGGGCUGCAGUGGGGGAUAUUGCACAAUGGAGGAAACUCUGAUGCAGCAACGCCGCGUGAGGGAAGAAGGUCUUCGGAUUGUAAACCUCUGUCCUCAGGGACGAUAAUGACGGUACCUGAGGAGGAAGCUCCGGCUAACUACGUGCCAGCAGCCGCGGUAAUACGUAGGGAGCAAGCGUUGUCCGGAUUUACUGUGUGUAAAGGGUGCGUAGGCGGCUCUGCAAGUCAGGUGUGAAAACUAUGGGCUUAACUCAUAGAUUGCACUUGAAACUGUGGGGCUGGAGUGAAGUAGAGGCAUGGGGUAGUCCAGGCGAAGCGGUGAGAAGCGUAGAGAUCGGGAAGAACACCAGUGGCGAAGGCGGCCUGCUGGGCUUUAACUGACGCUGAGGAACGAAAGCGUGGGUAGCAAACAGGAUUAGGUACCCUAGUAGUC
rnacentral:rRNA from 1 species